AAAUCAUCCAAAGGACCUUACUUCUGGUGAGCCCUGGGGCAUGGUUGACUGAUAUGUGCCAAGAAAGAUACGAAGUUAGGGAAAAAAAGAGUUCUAAGAAGAGACCAAGGGGAUUGAAGGCCAUAGGGAGUGUGGAAAGUGAUUCGGAUUGAAGAUUAUCAUAAGCCAUGGCAACUACAGCAGGAGCAUUUUUUCU